rnacentral:rRNA from 1 species
UGUUUCGGCUAGGGGGCCAUCCCGGCUUACCAACCCGAUGCAAACUGCGAAUACCGGAGAAUGUUAUCACGGGAGACACACGGCGGGUGCUAACGUCCGUCGUGAAGAGGGAAACAACCCAGACCGCCAGCUAAGGUCCCAAAGUCAUGGUUAAGUGGGAAACGAUGUGGGAAGGCCCAGACAGCCAGGAUGUUGGCUUAGAAGCAGCCAUCAUUUAAAGAAAGCGUAAUAGCUCACUGGUCGAGUCGGCCUGCGCGGAAGAUGUAACGGGGCUAAACCAUGCACCGAAGCUGCGGCAGCGACGCUGAUGCGUUGUUGGGUAGGGGAGCGUUCUGUAAGCCUGCGAAGGUGGCCUGUGAGGGUUGCUGGAGGUAUCAGAAGUGCGAAUGCUGACAUAAGUAACGAUAAAGCGGGUGAAAAGCCCGCUCGCCGGAAGACCAAGGGUUCCU